GGCUCAGGAUGAACGCUAGCGGCAGGCUUAACACAUGCAAGUCGAGGGGCGAGCGCGGGUAGCAAUACUCUGGCGGCGACCGGCGAAAGGGUGCGUAACGCGUGAGCAACUUGCCCGUAUCUGGGACAUAAGCGGUGGAAACGCCGUCUAAUUUCCCAUAACAACAGGAGCCGCAUGACUCCAGUUUGAAAGAUCCGUCGGAUACGGAUGGGCUCGCGAGACAUUAGCUAGUCGGCGUGGUAACGGCACACCGAGGCGACGAUGUCUAGGGGUUCUGAGAGGAAGGUCCCCCCACACUGGAACUGAGACACGGUCCAGACUCCUACGGGAGGCAGCAGUGAGGAAUAUUGGUCAAUGGGCGCAAGCCUGAACCAGCCAUGCCGCGUGCAGGAAUAAGGCCCUAUGGGUCGUAAACUUCUUUUGACGGGGAGCAAUAAGGCGUACGUGUACGCCGAUGAGAGUACUCGUCGAAUAAGCAUCGGCUAACUCCGUGCC
rnacentral:rRNA from 1 species